rnacentral:rRNA from 1 species
CCCUUAGAUGUUCUGGGCUGCACGCGCGCUACACUGAUGCGCUCAACGAGUUUACGACCUUGUCCGGAAGGGUUGGGUAAUCUUUUUAAAACGCAUCGUGAUGGGGAUAGAUUAUUGCAAUUAUUAAUCUUUAACGAGGAAUUCCUAGUAAGCGCGAGUCAUCAGCUCGUGCUGAUUACGUCCCUGCCCUUUGUACACACCGCCCGUCGCUCCCACCGAUUGGGUGAGCCGAUGAAACUCUCGGAUGUAGGCUAUUCAUAGCCCGCAGAAGAGAUUUGAAUCGUAGCGCUUAGAGGAAGGAGAAGUCGUAACA